rnacentral:lncRNA from 1 species
UUUGGGUGUGGGAUUAGACUCACUGAGUAAACUAGUUACUCAUGACUCGUUUGUGAUGCAGAUAACCAAUAGGCGGGAAACCUUACUCUAGGACGGGAACGAACAGCAUUUGCCAGCGGUAGUUUUAUUAUCCUUGCAAAGUCAUUUUGAUAUAUCUUAUGUAUAAGAUUUGUUGACCAAAAACCUCGAGGUUAAUUUAUAACAAAUUUUGUAAGAUGCUUUUGAUUGAUAUAUAAAGAAUGUUUUUUUAAAGUACGGGUUCCAUAUGAUAUUAGUCCUUGUCCGGACGAACUAACUAUCGGGUAUUGCUUUGUCGGGUUGAAAAGCCUAGAGUUAUACCCGAUAGGAGCGUUGGUGUUCUUUGGUUGUUGGUCUAAGGCGAUCGGAAGUAUUCUGAGAACCUCAGAUCGACAAUCGAGGAACAUCGACCGUGUCAUUUCCGGUCAUCUACGAUCGGGGGUGUCACAAAGGUGGUAUCAGAGCAUGGUUAUACGAUGCUAGAAUGGGACUUGUUUCAAAUGUUUUUCGAGUCCAAAUGAGUUGCAAGGAUAACUAGGAUAUGCUGGCUUGUUCCUUCAUUUUAGGAUAGAUAGUCAUGGGUAGUUACCUAACAGUGAUAUUUCAUAGCAGCAGCACCGAGACAAGCUUGAACGGGUGGACCGUACUUACCGAUGUUAGUAUCAUCAAGCUCGAGUUUUCUACCCUCAUGGUGGUGUUCACUACCGCCCUGUUAAGAGUCAGUAACGUCAUGCCUUCUUGUCGUUGUUUUGAAUUCUAGUGGGGGAUGCCAAUUCUUUAGAGAGAGAUAUGGGACAGAACAGAUACAUCGAAUACAUCUCCGGACUCGUGUGUUAUCGAUGUCAAGGUGGGCGUUCUUUGUGGUCCGAUUCAAAGCGAUGCGACUGCACAUGAUCACCUAGAUGCACUUAUUCUUCCAGCUUCUCAAGUCUCCAGAUCAUGCUGAGACGUACAAGAAACAGAGCCGUACAAGCUUGAAUUGUUCAACAUUUGUUUGGAGCUUAGUGUUGGAGGAAGAGAUGGUUCAACUGUAGUACAAUACGAUGGACACACAUGCACCUUUCUGUUGGCAACAAGACAUCUUAAAGCUUAUGAUGGAAAGAAGUAGUGGGACCAUAAGAUACUGAAGAAACACUAAACCGUUUGAGGUAUACUUUGGAUUUGGGAUGAAACACCUAGAGCAAAACAUUGACGUGGCCAAUGUUCAGAGAAUUACAUGAAGGAUUUGGUAGCAAGCUAUUUGGAGAUGAACGCGAUGAGUUGUUGGUCGAGAGUCAAGAAUUACUUCAGAGAGGUGAGAUCGAGUUGGACAGAUCUCAAGAGUUCAUGAAGUAGAAUUUUCUACACAAGAUAUGGGACCGAUUGAAGAUUCAGUUUACGGAGUUGGUACAGUGGGAUGUUUCCGCCAGGAGGUUCAGGUUGAGUUAAUCAUAUACAACAAUUUCAGCAUCAAGAUAUGUGGUCGAGUGAAUUUCAUUGAUCGAUUAUGGUUUGGAGAAUAAGCCAAAUAUCAGAUGGAAAAUAUUUGGGAACUUUGCCAAGAAUUUUGUAGUAGAUAAAAGACCAUGGAGUCUCAGAGCUUCGAGGAGAUGUGAGAGUAUGACGCGAAUACAAAAGAAGUUAUUGCUGAAGAAGUUCACCAAAUUCUGCAGACCAUUUAAUUCCCAACCAGUGAAGAUCGAAGAUUAUUUUAAAUCAGUGGAUUAAGUCGCUGGGAUGAUUUUUGGUGUACGUUUCAUCAGAUCAAGAUCGAGGAGGCUGAGUUGUUAUGGUGGUGAGAUGCCAAGACAGCAUAGUCGGGAUCGUCCAAGUGCGAGAAAUUCUUGAUUAUUUGCAUUAAUGCGCUUCAGUGAUUCCCUUGUGAAGAGUAAGGAUGAUUAUUUUACCCUUGCCCAUAAAGUUACCCGGUUCCUUUGCCUAUACCUAGGGUACCAGUAGUUGGAUUUUUUCACGCUUCCUUACCGUUAGUCCACAUCCAAGUGUUAGGCUAUUUGGGUAGAGCCUACACUUUAUAGUUGACUGGACCGUCAAAACCCCUGAAAGGUCCAAUCACAUGUUUGCUUUUUAUCCCAUUGUGUGUUGUGUGCAUUUCUUAAAAUUUUAUGAAUGAUUAAAAUUAAAAAAUAAAAAUAAAAAUGUGAAUUGUGAUCAAGGUGUCGUAAGAGACCUUGCCUAUGGAUGGAAUUUUCCGUCCAUAUUGUGUUUGAUUCGGGAACCACACAUAGUUGUAGUUCCCGAGUAGUGUCAUAGUUGUAAGUAGGAUUCACUUUAGUGAAUUCAAGUACCCGUUCUUAUUCUUGGAAGUACUGGCUGCCAGUUAAAAUUUGUGGUAUGCCUUUCCCCAUUCCAUAGUACUUCCGUUAGAGCGGUAUGUUUCUAUCUAGAAUGAGACUGGCUAUCUAGUUACCGAGCUCAAUUUGGAUAUUAAGUAAAUAAGUCUUUUGAAGAGGACCAGUUAUUGUUGGCCUACAAUGGUAUACUACUAAGUGUUCGAGUAUCACUCAAAUCAGUCUGGCGUGUUGAUGAACUUUUGGGAAAAGGUGAAGAAGUGUACUCUAGUAACUUGAUUGUUUAAAAAGUAGAAGAUGAAAAGGAGCAGAGUAGAAGACAGUCUGAUAAUCAGGGAAGAUGAAGAUGUGUUUAAGGCAUUGAAAGGAUGGUCGACAUCUAAAAAAAGUAACAUGUUAAGUAUUCUUGUUAAACAUGAAAUCACUGCAAUAGCCUAGGGAUUUCACCAAGUGGUUCUUGUCGAGUUCUAGUAGUAGUUAGAAGAUUAUGAAGAGCAUUUCAGAUAGAUCAGAAGUGUAAAGAAUAAUGUAAGUGAAAUCAUUCUUGGAAUGGGUGAGUGUGUUUAUUUGAGAGUAGCACCCCUGGUCUGAAUCAUGUUGGCGUGAUUGAUCGUGCAUGUUCUUGUUUGAUUGUUGCACGGUUAAUCAAGUUAACAUUGACUAGACUGGAGAUGUUACAUUCACGUAUGGCACAUCACCUCACGUUUCGAAUUUCAUGUUGUUGUUAUGGGGGAGAGCCAGAUAGAAAAGGUUGAGAAGUAAUAGUCUACAGAUACAAGAUUGUUAGAAAAAGUAUGCAGACCGCAGUUGACAAGAAUUGUGCAGAGUAAAGAAUUUGGUUAUCUUGAAAGUGGCUGCUCAGAAAAGAAAGGAUUGGUUUGGGGAAUCAAGGGAUCGACCAUGAGUUGUUUUGAUAUGGGCAGAUUAAGAUAAGGUCAGAUCUAAUAUCCAUAACUCCUUUCAGAGACUGUUCAGUAAAGAGUGUACAGCUACGUUUUUAGAAUUCGGGGACGAAUUCUUUUGAGGGGGGAAGAAUGUAAUAACCCUCGCGAGCAGAUAUAAUUUUGGUCGAGAAAAUUCUUUUAAGAUCAGUUUGAAGAUUGAUCGAUCAGAAUUUAAAUAAAAAUCGACACGGUGAAUUAAUCUCUCGACGGGCUAUCUUUUGGUCAAAAAAACCAUCUCUUGACGGUUCUGGUCGAGUGUUAUUUAUUAUUGUCGAUUUUUAUUCAUGCUAGGCGAGUUUAUUCAGAGCAGGACGAGAUUCGAAUGAUGAAAAAUAUUUAGUCGAAACAGUCCGAACAUUAUCGACAAAACUCUGAAAAUUAUUUCUGAACAGUCACAUGCCUUGCACCUUCUAGCCUACUUGCUUCCUCAGUAAUUAGGUCACAUGACCUGCACCUACUUGCUUGCCUUCUUGCUCAUUAGAAGUCACAUGCUUGUCACAAGCUACUUGCUUCAGCUGCUUGUAGCUUUCUUCAUGGGAAGGAAAAGUUAAGCUGCUUGUGCUGCUUGGUGUGCUGCAGCAUGUCUCCCCCUGUCUAGCCUCAGCUUUGCCUUGUGUGGGAGUAAACCCUCAUCUGAAGUAACUCCUUAUGCUUUAAAACACCUUCUUCUGUCCUCUGGACGUUCAUAACCUGCAAGAAAAACCAGAGAAAAAUUCAGAGAGAAAGAGAGAAAGAAGAGAGAAAAAUCUUUGAGAAAAACAAGUUGCAAAAUUCAGAAAAAAUAUUCAGAGAAGAGAAUUGAGCAUGGACGUAGCUUUAUCACCAUCCUGUGACUUUAAUCAGUGAGUAUUUUUGUGGUAAAGAGUUGGAGAUUUGGUGUCCUCAAGUUGAGAAUCACCCAUGUUCUUCAGCCUUUGAUUUUGAUCGGUAAGAUGGUUGUGGAUCAGUUUCUGUGAGAAGUUUUGUUGGUUUGCCUACACUAGAGAUAAAUUCUGAAUAAAUCCAACCAUGGAUUCUUGUGGUGUUGAUCAGGUUCAUUCGUGGUUAGCUUGAAGAGAGACAACCAGUCAAGUUUAAUUAGUUGAGUAAAACCGGUAAGCUUCAGCUUCUUGAUUCAGCCAUGUUUUGAUGAGAACCAAUUGCUGUAUGUUGGUUAACCUGUCAGGAUCAGUUGUCUAAGGUCUUGUUCUCUUCAGUCUUGGUUGGUUUAUGAUUUAAUCAGUCUCAUAGAACCGUUAAACAAACUGAUAAGAAUUAUAGGAAUUAAACCGAACUGAUUUGAUCUUGUUUAGAACUGAAUUGAGCUGAGUAUGUUCUGAUCUGAUCUGAGCCGAGCUGUCUAUGGUCUGAAAUUGUCUUGAACUGAUGUCGUCUGAGUAUAACCGACUUAAGCUGUUGGGAACUGAUUAGAACCGGAGUUAGCUGAGCAUGAACUAAGCUGAUAUGAACCGAGUUAAAUUGUUAAAGCUUCAACCGAACUGAACUGCUUUGAACUAAGCUGAGUAGAGUUUCCACACAGCCUGUAUGUUGGAAUCAACCUGACUGGUCUUGUAUCCACACAUUCUGAAUCAGGAGUGAAAUAGAGUGUUAUUAGUUGAGCUCGAGUUUAGUCUUUCCUAGCCAAUCUCAUGGAUUUAAAGGUGAGUCUAGAUAGAUGAUGAAUGAAUUAUGAAUGAGUAUGCAUGAUUGCAUAUUGAAUAUGGUUGAUUAAUUAAGAAUUAAUCAUGAAUUAAUUAAAGGAUAAUCAUUGAUUAAUUAAGGAUUAAUCAUGGAUUAAUUAAGGAAUAAUUAUGGUUGAUUGAUUAAGUAUUAUCCCUUGAUCUAUAUUUAUAUAUGAAGUAUUUAUCUAGUUUAAAUACUUAAGAAUUAAUAAGAAUAAUUCUUUGAGGUUAUCCCGAGCCUUAGUACUUGUUCUCAAGUACUAAUCUAUAAGUAUUAUAUUAAUAAGUGUGAAUCAUGUGAAGUCUUAUUGUAUACUCACUCUCCCGAAAGUCCCGCAUUGCCAUGAAUUGGUCCUGCAAUAUGGAUCAAGGUCAUGAAGACACGAUGAUGGGGUCGCACCCUAGAGGCCGUGUAACUGCAUGCAGCGUUAGAUGUUCUAUCUUGGAAUAUCUGAUGGAGAUGAUGGUUAUAUUUAUUCCCUGUUAGGCUCGGUUAGCCUUGGUGGUUUUCCAGGUUUAGCAUAUAUAAAUAUUAAGAGUAUGAGUGAUUGGCGGGUAUCGUGGAGGUGAUGUUUAAGAUAGAUUCACAUGGAUGGAUUGAGAGGCCUUAUAAUUAUAUUAAUUAUGGAAUAUAAUUCCACUGCAUUCAAAUGGUGUCGCUUGCUCGGGAUACUAUUGAUAUGUGUUUGGGUAUGGGAUUAGACUCACUGAGUAAACUAGUUACUCAUGACUCAUUUGUGAUGCAGAUAACCAAUAAGGGGGAAACCUUACUCUAGGACGGGAACGAACAGCAUUUGCCAGCGGUAGUUUUAUUAUCCUUGCAAAGUCAUUUUGAUAUAUCUUAUGUAUAAGAUUUGUUGACCGAAAACCUCGAGGUUAAUUUAUAACAAAUUUAGUAAGAUGCUUUUGAUUGAUAUAUAAAGAAUGUUUUUUUUUAAGUACGGGUUCCAUAUGAUAUUAGUCCUUGUCCGGACGAACUAACUAUCGGGUAUUGCUUUGUCGGGUUGAAAAGCCUAGAGUUAUAUCCGAUAGGAGCGUUGGUGUUCUUUGGUUGGUUGUCUAAGGCGAUCGGAAGUAUUCUGAGAACCUCAGAUCGACAAUCGAGGAACAUCG